GGAGGGGUGCCGGAGUGGUUGAACGGAACGGUCUUGAAAACCGUCGCUCGCGGAUUCGCGAGCCGUGGGUUCGAAUCCCACCCCCUCCGCCA
rnacentral:tRNA from 1 species